rnacentral:rRNA from 1 species
UACGGGGGGAGCAAGCGUUGUUCGGAUUUACUGGGCGUAAAGGGCGCGUAGGCGGUCGUGACAAGUCACUUGUGAAAUCUCCGGGCUUAACUCGGAACGGUCAAGUGAUACUGUCGGACUAGAGUACAGAAGGGGCAACUGGAAUUCUCGGUGUAGCGGUGAAAUGCGUAGAGAUCGUAAGGAAGACCAGUGGCGAAGGCGAGUUUCUGGACAGUUACUGACGCUGAGGCACGAAGGCCAGGGGAGCAAACGGG